rnacentral:rRNA from 1 species
GAUCAACGCUGGCGGCGUGCCUUACGCAUGCAAGUCGAACGGCGCCCUUCGGGGUGCAGUGGCGGACGGGUGAGUAACACGUACGUGACCUACCGCGCAGGGGGGGAGUACCAGUCCGAAAGGGACGUGCUAAUACCGCAUGUGCUCAGCGAGGGGACUUGCUGAGGGAAAGGGACCGCGCAAGCGGUCUCGCUGGGUGGAGGGGCGUGCGGCCGAUUAGCUAGUUGGGUGGGGGUAAGGGCCCACCAAGGCGACGAUCGGUAGCUGAGCUGAGAGGCC